GGAGCAGCCUGAUGUGAUGGACGCUCUCAGGAGUUCGUGGGCUGAGAAAGAAAGCACAUUGAAGAGAUCAGAGAAGAGAGACAAAGAGCUCCUGAAGGCUGCGUUCGUCCUGGUCUACCACGACUGCGCGCUCCCUCUCCUCCAGUCCAC